rnacentral:rRNA from 1 species
GAUGAACGCUGGCGGCGUGCCUAAUACAUGCCAGUGGAGCGAACAGACGAGGAGCUUGCUCCUCUGACGUUAGCGGCGGACGGGUGAGUAACACGUGGAUAACCUACCUAUAAGACUGGGAUAACUUCGGGAAACCGGAGCUAAUACCGGAUAAUAUAUUGAACCGCAUGGUUCAAUAGUGAAAGACGGUUUUGCUGUCACUUAUAGAUGGAUCCGCGCCGCAUUAGCUAGUUGGUAAGGUAACGGCUUACCAAGGCGACGAUGCGUAGCCGACCUGAGAGGGUGAUCGGCCACACUGGAACUGAGACACGGUCCAGACUCCUACGGGAGGCAGCAGUAGGGAAUCUUCCGCAAUGGGCGAAAGCUUGACGGAGCAACGCCGCGUGAGUGAUGAAGGUCUUCGGAUCGUAAAACUCUGUUAUUAGGGAAGAACAAAUGUGUAAGUAACUAUGCACGUCUUGACGGUACCUAAUCAGAAAGCCACGGCUAACUACGUG